AGCUCCAAUAGCGUAUAUUAAAGUUGUUGCAGUUAAAAAGCUCGUAGUUGGAUUUCGGUGCGUCGCGCAACCCGGUCUACCGAGACGGUGUGUACUGGUUCGCACGUGCUUCCUGACGGUUUUUGCUUCGCGCUGCUCUUUACUGGGUGGCGUGUAGGCUCCGUCUCGUUUACUUUGAAAAAAUUAGAGUGUUUAAAGCAGGCCUUUCGCGCCUUGAAUAUUGCAGCAUGGGAUAAUGGAAUAGGACUUUGCUCCUAUUUUGUUGGUUUCUAGGAGGAAAGUAAUGAUUAAUAGAGAUAGUUGGGGGUAUUCAUAUUUAGUUGUCAGAGGUGAAAUUCUUGGAUUUACGAAAGAUGAACUUCUGCGAAAGCAUUUAUCAAGGAUGUUUUCAUUAAUCAAG
rnacentral:rRNA from 1 species